AUGAAUCUAGCGUUGAUCCUGCAGAUUAUCUGGAGUUUGGGCCUUGCUUGUAAGGAUAUCUUUGCUCUAAGGAAUAAAAAGGAUCUUCACACCCCGGAUAAUCUAUUGAUCAUUGUUAUGGUUGACUGGGUCGUGGCGGUUUUCAUGUUCUCAGGAGCCUGUGCCUCCGCGAGCCUGACAAUUUUCUUCAUGUGGGAUGUGCACUUCUGCGAGACAUACUCGAAGCUGGCCUGCCAACAGUUCGCGCUUUCGGUCGUCCUGGCGUUCAUCACGUGGUUGCUGCAAGCUGCUUCUUCUUUCUCCGGAUUCUGGCUACUGGUUUCGUUCUUCUAG
rnacentral:rRNA from 1 species